CUUAUGCGUUGUUGGGUAGGGGAGCGUUCUGUAAGCCUGUGAAGGUGGCCUGUGAGGGUUGCUGGAGGUAUCAGAAGUGCGAAUGCUGACAUAAGUAACGAUAAAGCGGGUGAAAAGCCCGCUCGCCGGAAGACCAAGGGUUCCUGUCCAACGUUAAUCGGGGCAGGGUGAGUCGACCCCUAAGGCGAGGCCGAAAGGCGUAGUCGAUGGGAAACGGGUUAAUAUUCCCGUACUUGGUGUUACUGCGAAGGGGGGACGGAGAAGGCUAUGUUGGCCGGGCGACGGUUGUCCCGGUUUAAGCGUGUAGGUGUGUGUUCCAGGUAAAUCCGGUUCACUUUAACACUGAGGCGUGAUGACGAGGCACUACGGUGCUGAAGCAACAAAUGCCCUGCUUCCAGGAAAAGCCUCUAAGCAUCAGGUAACAUCAAAUCGUACCCCAAACCGACACAGGUGGUCAGGUAGAGAAUACCAAGGCGCUUGAGAGAACUCGGGUGAAGGAACUAGGCAAAAUGGUGCCGUAACUUCGGGAGAAGGCACGCUGACACGUAGGUGAAGUGAUUUACUCAUGGAGCUGAAGUCAGUCGAAGAUACCAGCUGGCUGCAACUGUUUAUUAAAAACACAGCACUGUGCAAACACGAAAGUGGACGUAUACGGUGUGACGCCUGCCCGGUGCCGGAAGGUUAAUUGAUGGGGUCAGCGCAAGCGAAGCUCCUGAUCGAAGCCCCGGUAAACGGCGGCCGUAACUAUAACGGUCCUAAGGUAGCGAAAUUCCUUGUCGGGUAAGUUCCGACCUGCACGAAUGGCGUAAUGAUGGCCAGGCUGUCUCCACCCGAGACUCAGUGAAAUUGAACUCGCUGUGAAGAUGCAGUGUACCCGCGGCAAGACGGAAAGACCCCGUGAACCUUUACUAUAGCUUGACACUGAACAUUGAGCCUUGAUGUGUAGGAUAGGUGGGAGGCUUUGAAGUGUGGACGCCAGUCUGCAUGGAGCCGACCUUGAAAUACCACCCUUUAAUGUUUGAUGUUCUAACGUGGACCCGUAAUCCGGGUUGCGGACAGUGUCUGGUGGGUAGUUUGACUGGGGCGGUCUCCUCCUAAAGAGUAACGGAGGAGCACGAAGGUUGGCUAAUCCUGGUCGGACAUCAGGAGGUUAGUGCAAUGGCAUAAGCCAGCUUGACUGCGAGCGUGACGGCGCGAGCAGGUGCGAAAGCAGGUCAUAGUGAUCCGGUGGUUCUGAAUGGAAGGGCCAUCGCUCAACGGAUAAAAGGUACUCCGGGGAUAACAGGCUGAUACCGCCCAAGAGUUCAUAUCGACGGCGGUGUUUGGCACCUCGAUGUCGGCUCAUCACAUCCUGGGGCUGAAGUAGGUCCCAAGGGUAUGGCUGUUCGCCAUUUAAAGUGGUACGCGAGCUGGGUUUAGAACGUCGUGAGACAGUUCGGUCCCUAUCUGCCGUGGGCGCUGGAGAACUGAGGGGGGCUGCUCCUAGUACGAGAGGACCGGAGUGGACGCAUCACUGGUGUUCGGGUUGUCAUGCCAAUGGCACUGCCCGGUAGCUAAAUGCGGAAGAGAUAAGUGCUGAAAGCAUCUAAGCACGAAACUUGCCCCGAGAUGAGUUCUCCCUGAGACUUAGAGUCUCCUGAAGGAACGUUGAAGACGACGACGUUGAUAGGCCGGGUGUGUAAGCGCAGCGAUGCGUUGAGCUAACCGGUACUAAUGAACCGUGAGGCUUAACCUUACAACGCCGAAG
rnacentral:rRNA from 1 species